rnacentral:lncRNA from 1 species
GAUGCCAAACUACCUGAAUUUCUAAUUCAAUGACGGAAAAUUUUUGGAUACAGUCAAGUACUUAUGAAGUCUGAGUGUGAGUCAAAGUGAGAUUGACCACUCCAAAUAAAAUUAGAGAUGAUACAUCACUAUACUUCAAUUCAACAAAACUCUAGCCAAAGUGGUCUUAGUGAGAAGUCACAAAAUUUUUUGAGAUUGAGAUACAAUAUGGACUA